GCCACAGCAACGUGGGAUCCGAGCCAUAUCUUCGACCUACACCACAACUCACGGCAACGCCGGAUCCUAAACCCACUGAUCGAGGCCAGGGAUCAAACCCACAACUUCAAGGUUCCUAGUCAGAUUCGUUAACCACUGUACCAUGAGGGGAACUCCCUCAAACACUCUUAAAAUGAGAAGAAACUAUAUAGAAACCCCCCCAAAAGCAUAUUAUAAAGUGUCAUAAAUCAGUUUCUAAUACCACCCACAACUUUUCGUGGACUUUAUUCUCUCUCUUUAUAGGCAAAAGGCUCAGCUUCACUCCAUUUUCUUGUAUGUAUUUAUGGACCAGUACUGAACCAAAGUUGGUGCUCUCCUGGGCCUUUGUAUACAUCAUGAAAACAGAGCAUUCUUUUCCUCAUCUUUUAUACCUACUUAUCUGCUGUAUUAGUUUCCUGUGGUUGCUGUAACGAUUGACCACAAACUGGGUGGCUUAAAACAUCGGAAGUGUAUUCUUUUAUAGUUGCAGAAGCUUAAAGUCUGAAAUCAGUAUCAUUGAGCUGGAAUCUGUACUCUUGUGAGGCUCUGGGGCAGUUUCCACUCAGAUGAACCCUCUUGUAUGCCUAACCUAUAAACAUGGUGAGAUCAGAAAUGUCUGUGGUUGGAAGUUCCCUUCGUGGCCCAGCAAUUAAUGAUCCUCACUAGGAUCCAUGAAGAUGUGGAUCCUUAACCCACUGAACAAGGCCAGGGAUCGAACCCGAGUCCUCAUCGAUGCUAGUCAGGUCCAUUAACUGCUGAGCCACAACAGGAACUCUGAUGUGUUUUGAUAGAACAAAAAAAAAAAAAUUCAAAUAAGAUGACAGUAGGAGUGUGUAAACACAAAUGCCUCUGGAAUGACUUAGGCAUCGAUCUUAGUAUUUUCUUCCAGUAGCAUUCUCUUCUCAGAUGUGGAAGGAUCCUGCAUUUUUAGAAUCUACUGCCAGAGUUCCCAACACGCUGGUCAGUCUCAAGACUCAAGCAUGACUCAGGGACGGCUUUGAAAGAAAUGCCUAGUAACUAGAUUAGAAAAUAACUAGGUUUAGGAGUUCCUGCUUAUGCUGUCUGUGGCACUGGGAUACAGUUUCUACACCCUGCACAGUGGGUUAAAGAUCCAUCAUUGCGGCGACUUUGGCUGGGAUUUGAACCCUGGUCCUGGAACUCCAUAUGCCAUGGGGUGGCCAAAAAAUAAAAUAGGUUUAAAGGAAUUCCCUGGUGACCUACCAGUUUGGGACUAGACGUUGUCGCUGUUGUGGCUCAGGUUUGAUUCCUUGCCUAGGAACUGCAUACCAUCAGCAUGGCCAAAAAAAAAAAAAAGUUUAAUAAACAAUUAGGAAGCUUUCUUUAAAAUUCUGAAGCACUAUUGGGAGUUCCCGUCGUGGCUCAGCAGUUAACAAACCUGACUGAUUAGUAUCCUGACUAGUAUCUAGGGACUUGGGUUCAAUCCCUGGCGUUGCUCAGUGGGUUAGGGAUCUGGCUUUGCUGUGGGCUGUGGUGUAGUUUGCAGGCUCAGCUCUGAUUCCGCGUUGCUGUGGCUGUGGUGUAGGCUGGCAGCUACAGCUCCAAUUCGACCUCUAGCCUGGGAACUUCCAUAUGGCACGGGUGUGGUCCUAAAGAGACAAAAAUAAAUAAAUAAAUAAAAUUAUCAAGCAUGCUGUGGCACAGUGAGUUAAGGAUCUGACUGCAGUGGCUCAGGUCACUGCAGAGGCAUGGUUUCAAUCCCUGGCCUGGGAAUGUCUAUAUGCCACGGGCAUGGCCAAAAAAAAAUUAUGAAGCAUCAUUAAAAUUAAAAAAAUUUUUUUUGGCAGUGCCCAUGGCAUGUGAAAGUUCCCAGACUAAAGAAUGAACUCAAACCACUGCAGUGACAAUGCUGGAUCCUUAACCCACUCUGCCACAAGAUAAUUCCCAAAAUUAAUGCAUUUAAAGCAUUCUUUUUAGGAGUUCCCAUUGUGGUUCUUUGGCAACGAACCCAGCUGGUAUCCAUGAGGACUCAGGUUAAAUCCCUGGCCUUGCUCAGUGGGUUAAAGAAUUGGCAUUGCUGUGAGCUGUGGUGUAAGUCACUGAUGCACCUCGGAUCUUAAGUUGCUAUGGCUGUGGCCAGCAACUACAGCUCCAAUUUGCCCACUAGCCUGGGAACUUCCAUAUGCUGCACCUGCAGCCCUAAACAAA
rnacentral:lncRNA from 1 species